UCUGAAACGUUGGUUAACAUCGACCAGUCUACACAGCGCAACAACCCAGAAGACAGAAAUCUAAACCUUGGAAUAUUCAUGUUAAUACAUUAGUACUGGCAGAACAUGAAGAGUACAAAUUCAUAAUUGCUUCCUUGAGUAGUAUAAAUUCAGGUGAUGUGUAAUAUUUAUGGGUACAUAGAAACAAACUGAACUAUAAAACAAAUAACUGAACGUUUGGAUGCUUAGUUAGUGUAAUGUCAGAUGCUGACUUUUCAUGGUGAAAGCAUGGGUUCAAUUCAAUAACAGUCUGUGUGGGAUAUGUGGUAGAAUGGCACCGAAUUUUCCUCUAAUAAUUCAACCUAUACUACCACCAGCUGACAUUUUUCAGAUCUUUGUUUAUUACAUCAUUGCUGAAAUUGCUUCCAGUAUGAAGAGUCAACACAGGAGAGUGAUUUUCAUAGUAAUUUUAAUUAUAAUACUUGUAAUUUCUCACAAUUUGAAGGCACAAUCCUAAGAUAUUUUAGUCGUGAUUUGAAAUUCUGUUGGCCUUGUUUUUAUGCAUGUUGAGCCCAGACAAUGAUUAGCGAUUUUGAUGUUUGUGUGUACUUACUAUAGAAGAGGCUUAGUAUGACACAUCUGAUGCACUUGCAGAAAGGAAAAUGAUAGUGACAUGUUGUUUACUGUACAUAAUAAUUAUUACUAUCAUAAUAUAUAAUUUAUUAUAAAUAUGAUUACAUGAUAUUGCAUAGAUUUUAAUAACUGCUGACUAAAUUAAUUGAUUACUGUAUAAGGGUAAAAUGACCGACAAAGAGAGAAAUGAGACCACAAAGUUGUUCAGUCACAGGACCACAAUAAUGUCAUGCAUUUUGAGUUACUUGUCAAGGUUUGAUUAGAUACUAAUACUUUUUAUGUUACUAAAUCUGCCUUCUGUUGAUCUUCAAAACACUGAUCACAGCAAAUAUGGCAGAGUUUAGUGUGCAACUUAAAGAACUUGAUUCUUCAAAUAAUAAAAUUUGAACAUAAUGACUAUUGUUACUUUUUAGAGUGAUGUGAAUGCCUCAGUGACAUUUCUUAACAGUAACAUCAAAAAAAGAAACAUUGUUAGAUAAAUUUGUGUGAAAUAGAUGAUGCUGUAAUGGAGACAAGCAUGGAGAAUAUAUCAAAAUUUUCUUCACAUCAUAAAUAUUGACAGUAAGAAAGAAAAGAGGAUCCAAGACAUUUCAUUUUGUAUUUCCUUCAUAGAAAUGGUCAAUGACAAUAACAGCAUGUUGAAGGGUAACAGCUUUAGCAAAUACAUGUCCCAGGAUUAGUCCACAAUUUUAGUCCACCCAACAGUUACCCCACUUCAGUAACAUAUUCGUCACAAUGAAUUAAGGAGUCAGGAAGGAUGCAGGUUAACGAGCCAUGUCAGUAUUGAUUAAAAUAAUGUUCAUGAUCCAGUUUGUAAUUUUAAAAAUUGAUUAUAUCUUAAUUAAUGGCUUUGUAACAACACUUCACCUGCUUAAGUGAGAUGGUAUACAAAAACAGGAUGAUUAUGAAUGACGGAUUACAGCUCUUGUCUAUUUUUAAUAUACUAGUCUGGUAUCUAACCAGAGGGGUUGAGGAGAACCAUAAAAACCACAAUCAGUAUUGUUGGACCCAAGUAAAGAUUCAAAUCAGGUACCUUCAAAACAAAAAGUUCUGAUCACUACAAUUGGUGGUUAUGUAUCAGUCAGUCGUUACAGAUGUGAAUAAUUGCAGUCCUUUGUUACCAGUGUUGUUUCAUAAUAUUCAGAUGUACAACAAACUUUUUAAUACAUCCUUCUGCCAGUUUCUGAGGAGUCAUUCCUUAGUCAAGUCUUCUCAUUUCACCAAAUUAAAUGACUGAUAUUUUACUCCCAUCACAAGACUACAAGCAAGGUUCUAAGUUAUGUUGUGUUUCAUGAAUUGUAUUUUGAGUUAAAUCAUCACCAUAGUGAUAACAAACUACAUUAUCAACCCAAAUUAUAUUUUAUCACCUCAGCUGAAAUGGCUGUUGGUUAUAAAUUAAAACUCUCUUGGUUUCUAGUGUGUUAACUGAAUUCAGGCAUACACAUCUGUCGCGUAAAUGGAAACUUAACAUGUAAGUCACUUUAGAUGAGAACUAUAUUAUGAUUAGUAGCCUAUACAUUUUCACAUACGUGAGUACUGAAUUAAUUUUAUCUUGCUAAAUUUAUGUUUAUCCAUUGCCUUAUGGGAGUCAUAUACCUUGUCAAGGAUAGUUAAGCCCAAAUGACCUGCUUUGGCUGAAACCAAUGUGAUACCAUUUUGGGGAUCAUAUUUGCAUAGAUUGCAUGAGGCCCACAAGAUGGCCACUGCCACAAUUUAAAUGUGUUACAGAUCCACACUUCAUUAAUAACAACACAUAGCAAUAGUUAGGAAAGACAUUAAUAAUCAUCGUUCGACACUUAAUAAGACAGAUAUAUCACUUGUUCCUUCUUCCCCAGAUACAAGAAAUUUUACAUUUAAUAAUUGAGUAAAGUGACCGUGGAACAUUUUUGUAUCCCUACAACUCAUGGUCAGUAUAAUUUGACAGAAACAUCCACAUGUCAUAUCAGUGUACUUAAGAAUAUUCAUAAGUAACUCCUUUUUCCCUAAACUGGUUUUAAAUCUGUAUAUUACAAAAGAACGUGAAAUGAGAUGGGUGCCUGGGUUGUUGCAUCAUAUUGUCUGCUAGAAGUUUGUUGAUGUUUCAGAGGUGCUUACUGCCUCCAUCAUCACACACUGCCCUGAUGAUGGAAGCAGCAAGGACCUCUGAAACAUCAGUAAAUUUCUACUACAGUACAUGGCAAAACAACCCAAAAGACAGCAGUCAUCUUGCUAUUGUAAGAACCAGAAGUCUCAUUUAAUAUGAAACAACUCAGACACUGUGUUUGGAUGUCGAAGCAUUGAGCAGCUUUGUACUCUCAUUGAAGGUUAAUUCCAAGCAUCGAUCCUCAUUGUUGAUCUGAUAUUGUUGUUAACUGUGCAGUCGCCAUUAUAGAUCAUUAGUGUACAUAGUAAGCAUAUGGCCACAUGUAUGCAAAUAAUGUGUGGAUUCAUUCUGAUCCAAAUUAAUGAUUGACACAAUAUUUGUUACAUAUGUUGCUAAAAAUAAAUAUUGUUGUUAUAUUAAAGUUUGAAAGAGUGCCAAAGAAUAUUACAUUGAGUUUCUCUUGGCUUCAGGAAUUUGAGGUGGAAAGCUUCAAACUGAUACUCAACAUUCUAAAGAUGACGGUGCUUUUAAUUGUUGAUGAUUGCUCCCACUCAGAGCUUUUGUGUAACCCUGUGGCAUGUGAAACCACAUCGAAAUAUAUUUAUGUGAGUGCAGUGGAAACUUCAAGAUAGGCUCCACAGAGGAGACCUAGCAAGGACUGAAGCAGUAUUCAAUGUAAUUUCCAUAAAUGUUGCAGCAAAAAUAAAAUAAUGAAUACCCACUGCAUUUGUGACGGUGUGUCUGGCAACACUCCAAAGUCAUUAUCAGUAAGGUAAAUGAAGUUUGAUGCAACUGUGUAGGGCUGGUGUAUAGGGUAGGUCUAUGUUAAUAUUUGAAACAUUACAUAUUAUUUGUACUGUUACAAACAAUGUUAAUAAUUAAUGGAUCAAGUAGGCCUAUGACUGAAUUGUUACAGAAUUAUCAUUAUAAUUAUUAUUCUGUUGUGAUCAACAUUUUUUUCCUUCCUCCCCCAGAUGAAGAUGAAAUUGUCUUGACAGUGUGCAUUGUUGAAAUUAAUAUACUGUUCAGGGUUUGCACAAAUUUAGAUAUGGUGAAAGUUGCAGAUAUGUUUAAACUACAGGAAGAAUUUGGCAAAUCCAGUAAUUUACAUAUCUAUCAUUGCCUUACAAAAAAGAAUUUUACAGCUGUACUUUUACAAAUGUUGAUUUUAAUUUACAUUUUCAAAGAGUGAUCUUAACACUUAAAACCCUAACCUACAACCUCCACCUCAGAUAUUUGAAGAGUUGAUCUCCUUUGCCCUCAUAUUUUUCAAUUUAUACAAAUGCGGUGGACACUGUCAAAUUGUAAAUAUGCCAUUGUGAAGCAACUGUGACAGAUCCAGGAUGUGUUUUGUAAUAAACAAAACUUUUAAAGAUA